rnacentral:tRNA from 11 species
GGUGGCCUAGUGGUCAAGACCUCCGGCUGGCAACCCAGGGGUGCUGGUUGAAAUC